rnacentral:misc_RNA from 1 species
GAUGAAGAACGCAGCGAAAUGCGAUAAGUAAUGUGAAUUGCAGAAUUUAGUGAAUCAUCGAAUCUUUGAACGCAUAUUGCGCCUUCUGGUAUUCCGGAGGGCAUGCUUGUUUGAGUAUCAGUAACAACCUCAACUCUUCUUCAUUGCGGAGAAAGAGUUGGAUUUGAGCAUUUCCACAAGUUCGUCUUGGAGGAUUGCUUGAAAUAUGAGGUUCGGCCGGCAGUUGCCUGGGCUACAAGCAUUUCAUACUUAAUCCCGUCAAACGGAUUAUAUCCUUUGCUGCAGCCAACAUACAGGGUAACUUUGCCAGUGUUCCGACUGAUGCAGGAAAGUUGAGAACAGCUUUUUGCUUUCUCUUCUAAACUCGAUCUCAAAUCAAGUAAGACUACCCGCUGAACUUAAGCAUAUCAAUAAGCGGAGGA